GAUGAACGCUGGCGGCGUGCCUAAUACAUGCAAGUCGAGCGAACAGAAGAGGAGCUUGCUCCUCUAACGUUAGCGGCGGACGGGUGAGUAACACGUGGAUAACCUACCUAUAAGACUGGGAUAACUUCGGGAAACCGGAGCUAAUACCGGAUAAUAUAUUGAACCGCAUGGUUCAAUAGUGAAAGACGGUUUUGCUGUAACUUAUAGAUGGAUCCGCGCCGCAUUAGCUAGUUGGUAAGGUAACGGCUUACCAAGGCAACGAUGCGUAGCCGACCUGAGAGGGUCAUCGGCCACACUGGAACUGAGACACGGUCCAGACUCCUACGGGAGGCAGCAGUAGGGAAUCUUCCGCAAUGGGCGAAAGCCUGACGGAGCAACGCCGCGUGAGUGAUGAAGGUCUUCGGAUCGUAAAACUCUGUUAUUAGGGAAGAACAAAUGUGUAAGUAACUAUGCACGUCUUGACGGUACCUAAUCAGAAAGCCACGGCUAACUACGUG
rnacentral:rRNA from 1 species